CCCUUNCCAUGCAAGUCGNAACGGCAGCACGGGAGCUUGCUCCUGGUGGCGAGUGGCGAACGGGUGAGUAAUACAUCGGAACGUACCCUGAAGUGGGGNAUAACGUAGCGAAAGUUACGCUAAUACCGCAUAUUCUGUGAGCAGGAAAGAGGGGGAUCGCAAGACCUCUUGCUUUAGGAGCGGCCGAUGUCGGAUUAGCUAGUUGGUGAGGUAAAGGCUCACCAAGGCGACGAUCCGUAGCGGGUCUGAGAGGAUGAUCCGCCACACUGGGACUGAGACACGGCCCAGACUCCUACGGGAGGCAGCAGUGGGGAAUUUUGGACAAUGGGCGCAAGCCUGAUCCAGCCAUGCCGCGUGAGUGAAGAAGGCCUUCGGGUUGUAAAGCUCUUUCGGUGGGGAAGAAAUUGCUUCGGUUAAUACCUGGAGUAGAUGACGGUACCCGCAUAAGAAGCACCGGCUAACUACGUGCCAGCAGCCGCGGUAAUACGUAGGGUGCGAGCGUUAAUCGGAAUUACUGGGCGUAAAGCGUGCGCAGGCGGUUGUAUAAGUCAGAUGUGAAAUCCCCGGGCUCAACCUGGGAACUGCAUUUGAGACUGUACGGCUAGAGUUUGGCANANGGGGGUGGAAUUCCACNUGUANCANUGAAAUGCNUANANAUGUGNANGAACACCNAUGGCNAANGCNNCCCCCUGGGCCAAUACUGACNCUCAUGC
rnacentral:rRNA from 1 species